GCCCGGAUGGCGAAAUCGGCAGACGCAGCGGACUUAAAAUCCGCGGCCCUUCAUGGGGGCAUACGGGUUCGACCCCCGUUCCGGGCACCA
rnacentral:tRNA from 1 species